ACAUGGAUUAGGCUUGAUUGUGUUAUUUAUUGUAAUUCUGAUCUUUUGCAGCAGGUAAACAGGAAGCACAUAGAUAAAGCACAUAAAAACAUAAUCCAUGACAUGUAGGCAUAUCUAGCUUUCCUUUUGUCACUUGAUUGCAUCUCCUUUUUCUGUUUUUUAGAUAAAGACCUGUUGCGGCCAACUCCCCAUCGUCUGUCGCCAGAAAUGAACACCUGCAAAAAGCA
rnacentral:lncRNA from 1 species